UACGAAGGGGGCAAGCGUUACUCGGAAUUACUGGGCGUAAAGCGUGCGUAGGCGGUUUGUUAAGUCCGUUGUGAAAGCCCUGGGCUCAACCUGGGAAUUGCAGUGGAUACUGUCGAGCUAGAGUGCGGUAGAGGAUGGUGGAAUUCCCGGUGUAGCGGUGAAAUGCGUAGAUAUCAGGAGGAACACCGAUGGCGAAGGCAGGUCUCUGGGCUGACACUGACGCUCAUGCACGAAAGCGUGGGGAGCAAACAGG
rnacentral:rRNA from 1 species